GGAGAGGUGGCUCAGAGGUUGAGAGCACUGGCUACUCUUCCAGAGGUCCUGAGUUCAAGUCUCAGCAACCACA
rfam:Neotoma lepida isolate 417 scaffold_925, whole genome shotgun sequence.